rnacentral:rRNA from 1 species
AAGCGGAGGAAAAGAAACCAACAGGGAUUGCCUCAGUAACGGCGAGUGAAGCGGCAAGAGCUCAAAUUUGAAAGCUGGCCCCCUCGGGGUCCGCAUUGUAAUUUGCAGAGGAUGCUUCGGGAGUGGCCCCCAUCUAAGUGCUCUGGAACGGGCCGUCAUAGAGGGUGAGAAUCCCGUAUGGGAUGGGGUGUCCGCGACCAUGUGAAGCUCCUUCGACGAGUCGAGUUGUUUGGGAAUGCAGCUCUAAAUGGGUGGUAAAUUUCAUCUAAAGCUAAAUAUUGGCCGGAGACCGAUAGCGCACAAGUAGAGUGAUCGAAAGAUGAAAAGCACUUUGAAAAGAGAGUUAAAAAGCACGUGAAAUUGUUGAAAGGGAAGCGCUUGCGACCAGACUCGCCUACGGGGUUCAGCCGGUAUUCGUACCGGUGUACUUCCCCGUGGGCGGGCCAGCGUCGGUUUGGGCGGCCGGUCAAAGGCCCUCGGAAUGUAACGCCUCUCGGGGCGUCUUAUAGCCGAGGGUGCCAUGCGGCCAGCCCGGACCGAGGAACGCGCUUCGGCACGGACGCUGGCAUAAUGGUCGUAAGCGACCCGUCUUGAA